UGUUCGAAAGGGAAACAGCCCAGACCACCAGCUAAGGUCCCAAAAUAUAUGUUAAGUGGAAAAGGAUGUGGCGUUGCCCAGACAACUAGGAUGUUGGCUUAGAAGCAGCCAUCAUUUAAAGAGUGCGUAAUAGCUCACUAGUCGAGUGACACUGCGCCGAAAAUGUACCGGGGCUAAACAUAUUACCGAAGCUGUGGAUUGUCCUUUGGACAAUGGUAGGAGAGCGUUCUAAGGGCGUUGAAGCAUGAUCGUAAGGACAUGUGGAGCGCUUAGAAGUGAGAAUGCCGGUGUGAGUAGCGAAAGACGGGUGAGAAUCCCGUCCACCGAUUGACUAAGGUUUCCAGAGGAAGGCUCGUCCGCUCUGGGUUAGUCGGGUCCUAAGCUGAGGCCGACAGGCGUAGGCGAUGGAUAACAGGUUGAUAUUCCUGUACCACCUAUAAUCGUUUUAAUCGAUGGGGGGACGCAGUAGGAUAGGCGAAGCGUGCGAUUGGAUUGCACGUCUAAGCAGUAAGGCUGAGUAUUAGGCAAAUCCGGUACUCGUUAAGGCUGAGCUGUGAUGGGGAGAAGACAUUGUGUCUUCGAGUCGUUGAUUUCACACUGCCGAGAAAAGCCUCUAGAUAGAAAAUAGGUGCCCGUACCGCAAACCGACACAGGUAGUCAAGAUGAGAAUUCUAAGGUGAGCGAGCGAACUCUCGUUAAGGAACUCGGCAAAAUGACCCCGUAACUUCGGGAGAAGGGGUGCUCUUUAGGGUUAACGCCCAGAAGAGCCGCAGUGAAUAGGCCCAAGCGACUGUUUAUCAAAAACACAGGUCUCUGCUAAACCGUAAGGUGAUGUAUAGGGGCUGACGCCUGCCCGGUGCUGGAAGGUUAAGAGGAGUGGUUAGCUUCUGCGAAGCUACGAAUCGAAGCCCCAGUAAACGGCGGCCGUAACUAUAACGGUCCUAAGGUAGCGAAAUUCCUUGUCGGGUAAGUUCCGACCCGCACGAAAGGCGUAACGAUUUGGGCACUGUCUCAACGAGAGACUCGGUGAAAUCAUAGUACCUGUGAAGAUGCAGGUUACCCGCGACAGGACGGAAAGACCCCGUGGAGCUUUACUGUAGCCUGAUAUUGAAAUUCGGCACAGCUUGUACAGGAUAGGUAGGAGCCUUUGAAACGUGAGCGCUAGCUUACGUGGAGGCGCUGGUGGGAUACUACCCUAGCUGUGUUGGCUUUCUAACCCGCACCACUUAUCGUGGUGGGAGACAGUGUCAGGCGGGCAGUUUGACUGGGGCGGUCGCCUCCUAAAAGG
rnacentral:rRNA from 1 species